rnacentral:snoRNA from 1 species
GAGUUAACGAUAAUUAUAAAAAUAAUUCUUCAUUCUAAUUUGUUUAACUUGGACAUGACAAACCUUUUAUUACACCCAUAGAAUCUGAGCUAC